CCUACGGGGGGCAGCAGUGGGGAAUAUUGGACAAUGGGGGGAACCCUGAUCCAGCCAUGCCGCGUGUGUGAAGAAGGCCCUCGGGUUGUAAAGCACUUUCAGUGAGGAAGAACGCCUGGUGGUUAAUACCCAUCAGGAAAGACAUCACUCACAGAAGAAGCACCGGCUAACUCCAUGCCAGCAGCCGCGGUAAUACGGAGGGUGCGAGCGUUAAUCGGAAUUACUGGGCGUAAAGCGCGCGUAGGUGGCUUGAUAAGCCGGUUGUGAAAGCCCCGGGCUCAACCUGGGAACGGCAUCCGGAACUGUCAAGCUAGAGUGCAGGAGAGGAAGGUAGAAUUCCCGGUGUAGCGGUGAAAUGCGUAGAGAUCGGGAGGAAUACCAGUGGCGAAGGCGGCCUUCUGGACUGACACUGACACUGAGGUGCGAAAGCGUGGGUAGCAAACAGGAUUAGAUACCCUGGUAGUC
rnacentral:rRNA from 1 species